rnacentral:rRNA from 1 species
CUGAUGACCAUAGCGAGUUGGUACCACUCCUUCCCAUCCCGAACAGGACAGUGAAACGACUCAGCGCCGAUGAUAGUGCGGGUUCCCGUGUGAAAGUAGGACAUCGUCAGGC